CAGUCGCCGCGGUAAUACAGAGGGUGCGAGCGUUAAUCGGAUUUACUGGGCGUAAAGCGUGAGUAGGCGGCUUCUUAAGUCGGAUGUGAAAUCCCUGAGCUUAACUUAGGAAUUGCAUUCGAUACUGGGAAGCUAGAGUAUGGGAGAGGAUGGUAGAAUUCCAGGUGUAGCGGUGAAAUGCGUAGAGAUCUGGAGGAAUACCGAUGGCGAAGGCAGCCAUCUGGCCUAAUACUGACGCUGAGGUACGAAAGCAUGGGGAGCAAACAGGAUUAGAUACCCCGGUAGUCCCUGUCUCUUAUAC
rnacentral:rRNA from 1 species